rnacentral:lncRNA from 1 species
AUGAAAUACCACAAAUCCGUAUUUUUAUGUUUCAAACAGUGCUGAAGAAGAACUCAAAGGCCAUAAGAACAAGUUGCACAGAAGAUCCAAGAAUAUGUGCAUGGAGAUACAAAUAAAAUAUUAGAAAGGUUGUUUGUGUUAAGAUGGAAAUGAAAUGCUUUAGGUCACAGGAAAGGGCCAGGAGAUCCCAUAGCAUGAUGAGAUGGACAUUAAUCCAGGAUGGCAUCAAUUUGUGAAAUGAGAAGACAACAACUAAAUAUAUUCCAAGACAAAGUAAUCAUGACAGCCUGCUAAUUCUUGGAGAUACUGUAAAGUCUCACUCUUCCAGGCAACCUGCUCGCUGGAGACAGCGCGGAGAAGCAGAGAAAGAAAAUGAAAUCCAGCACAUGCCUACCGUGGUAAAAACAGCAAAACCAAGCCAAUACCCGACCCAGACCCAGUCCUCCAAGGAAGGGGUGCAAAGUAGCCCUAUUUCUUUUUGCUUGUAAUUCUCCUCUUGUUAUUGCCCACAACUGUCUCUCAUCUCUCACUGAGGACGCAGGCUGGCUGUGUGGAUGCAGGGUGACAAGAGACUGCUUUAAUUUGCUCCGUGAAUAUCAUUCUACUUAUAUCUCUCUUUUCUUCCCCAGAUGAUAAAAAGGUUACUUAGAGAGCAAUGACACUUUUCCUUCUUAGGCAAAGACAGCCAAAGUAAGGACCAAUUGUUUCACAGUGUCUAGAGUUUGCCUGGGUGCUUUUUGUUUUUUGCCUUUGUGAUUUAAUUUUAUUUUAUUUUUCCUUGUUUGUGGGAAUUUUUGCUUCUGGGCAUGGAAGAGUGAUUUUUUUCUUCAUUUUGUUUUACCAAAGCAGUUAUUUACUUUAUGCCCGAAAUACACUAUGAAGUGCAUUUUAAAAUAUAUUACGAAAUGUGGCAACCCUGCCUAAUGAAUGAGAAAAUG